rnacentral:rRNA from 1 species
CUUAUAUUCUGUAGCAAGGUUAACCGAAUAGGGGAGCCGAAGGGAAACCGAGUCUUAACUGGGCGUUAAGUUGCAGGGUAUAGACCCGAAACCCGGUGAUCUAGCCAUGGGCAGGUUGAAGGUUGGGUAACACUAACUGGAGGACCGAACCGACUAAUGUUGAAAAAUUAGCGGAUGACUUGUGGCUGGGGGUGAAAGGCCAAUCAAACCGGGAGAUAGCUGGUUCUCCCCGAAAGCUAUUUAGGUAGCGCCUCGUGAAUUCAUCUCCGGGGGUAGAGCACUGUUUCGGCAAGGGGGUCAUCCCGACUUACCAACCCGAUGCAAACUGCGAAUACCGGAGAAUGUUAUCACGGGAGACACACGGCGGGUGCUAACGUCCGUCGUGAAGAGGGAAACAACCCAGACCGCCAGCUAAGGUCCCAAAGUCAUGGUUAAGUGGGAAACGAUGUGGGAAGGCCCAGACAGCCAGGAUGUUGGCUUAGAAGCAGCCAUCAUUUAAAGAAAGCGUAAUAGCUCACUGGUCGAGUCGGCCUGCGCGGAAGAUGUAACGGGGCUAAACCAUGCACCGAAGCUGCGGCAGCGACACUAUGUGUUGUUGGGUAGGGGAGCGUUCUGUAAGCCUGUGAAGGUGGCCUGUGAGGGUUGCUGGAGGUAUCAGAAGUGCGAAUGCUGACAUAAGUAACGAUAAAGCGGGUGAAAAGCCCGCUCGCCGGAAGACCAAGGGUUCCUGUCCAACGUUAAUCGGGGCAGGGUGAGUCGACCCCUAAGGCGAGGCCGAAAGGCGUAGUCGAUGGGAAACAGGUUAAUAUUCCUGUACUUGGUGUUACUGCGAAGGGGGGACGGAGAAGGCUAUGUUGGCCGGGCGACGGUUGUCCCGGUUUAAGCGUGUAGGCUGGUUUUCCAGGCAAAUCCGGAAAACCAAGGCUGAGGCGUGAUGACGAGGCACUACGGUGCUGAAGCGACAAAUGCCCUGCUUCCAGGAAAAGCCUCUAAGCAUCAGGUAACAUCAAAUCGUACCCCAAACCGACACAGGUGGUCAGGUAGAGAAUACCAAGGCGCUUGAGAGAACUCGGGUGAAGGAACUAGGCAAAAUGGUGCCGUAACUUCGGGAGAAGGCACGCUGAUAUGUAGGUGAAGCGACUUGCUCGUGGAGCUGAAAUCAGUCGAAGAUACCAGCUGGCUGCAACUGUUUAUUAAAAACACAGCACUGUGCAAACACGAAAGUGGACGUAUACGGUGUGACGCCUGCCCGGUGCCGGAAGGUUAAUUGAUGGGGUUAGCGGUAACGCGAAGCUCUUGAUCGAAGCCCCGGUAAACGGCGGCCGUAACUAUAACGGUCCUAAGGUAGCGAAAUUCCUUGUCGGGUAAGUUCCGACCUGCACGAAUGGCGUAAUGAUGGCCAGGCUGUCUCCACCCGAGACUCAGUGAAAUUGAACUCGCUGUGAAGAUGCAGUGUACCCGCGGCAAGACGGAAAGACCCCGUGAACCUUUACUAUAGCUUGACACUGAACAUUGAGCCUUGAUGUGUAGGAUAGGUGGGAGGCUUUGAAGUGUGGACGCCAGUCUGCAUGGAGCCGACCUUGAAAUACCACCCUUUAAUGUUUGAUGUUCUAACGUUGGCCCGUAAUCCGGGUUGCGGACAGUGUCUGGUGGGUAGUUUGACUGGGGCGGUCUCCUCCUAAAGAGUAACGGAGGAGCACGAAGGUUGGCUAAUCCUGGUCGGACAUCAGGAGGUUAGUGCAAUGGCAUAAGCCAGCUUGACUGCGAGCGUGACGGCGCGAGCAGGUGCGAAAGCAGGUCAUAGUGAUCCGGUGGUUCUGAAUGGAAGGGCCAUCGCUCAACGGAUAAAAGGUACUCCGGGGAUAACAGGCUGAUACCGCCCAAGAGUUCAUAUCGACGGCGGUGUUUGGCACCUCGAUGUCGGCUCAUCACAUCCUGGGGCUGAAGUAGGUCCCAAGGGUAUGGCUGUUCGCCAUUUAAAGUGGUACGCGAGCUGGGUUUAGAACGUCGUGAGACAGUUCGGUCCCUAUCUGCCGUGGGCGCUGGAGAACUGAGGGGGGCUGCUCCUAGUACGAGAGGACCGGAGUGGACGCAUCACUGGUGUUCGGGUUGUCAUGCCAAUGGCACUGCCCGGUAGCUAAAUGCGGAAGAGAUAAGUGCUGAAAGCAUCUAAGCACGAAACUUGCCCCGAGAUGAGUUCUCCCUGACUCCUUGAGAGUCCUGAAGGAACGUUGAAGACGACGACGUUGAUAGGCCGGGUGUGUAAGCGCAGCGAUGCGUUGAGCUAACCGGUACUAAUGAACCGUGAGGCUUAACCUUACAACGCCGAAG